UGCAGUCGAGCGGUAGCACAGAGAGCUUGCUCUUGGGUGACGAGCGGCGGACGGGUGAGUAACGCGUAGAAAUCUGCCUGGUAGUUGGGGAUAGCCCGGAGAAAUCCGGAUUAAUACCGAAUGUGCUCUUAGGAGGAAAGCGGGGGAUCUUCGGACCUCGCGCUACCAGAUGAGUCUGCGUAGGAUUAGCUAGUUGGUGGGGUAAAGGCUCACCAAGGCGACGAUCCUUAGCUGGUCUGAGAGGAUGAUCAGCCACACUGGGACUGAGACACGGCCCAGACUCCUACGGGAGGCAGCAGUGGGGAAUAUUGGACAAUGGGGGCAACCCUGAUCCAGCCAUGCCGCGUGUGUGAAGAAGGCCUUCGGGUUGUAAAGCACUUUCAGUGGUGAGGAAGGGUGUUGUGUUAAUAGCGCAAUACAUUGACGUUAGCCACAGAAGAAGCACCGGCUAACUCCGUGCCAGCAGCCGCGGUAAUACGGAGGGUGCAAGCGUUAAUCGGAAUUACUGGGCGUAAAGCGCGCGUAGGCGGUUUGUUAAGUGAGAUGUGAAAGCCCCGGGCUCAACCUGGGAAUUGCAUCUUAUACUGGCAGGCUAGAGUAUGGUAGAGGUGGGUAGAAUUCCUGGUGUAGCGGUGAAAUGCGUAGAGAUCAGGAGGAAUACCGGUGGCGAAGGCGGCCCACUGGA
rnacentral:rRNA from 1 species